ACGAACGCUGGCGGCGUGCUUCACACAUGCAAGUCGAACGGAAAGGCCCUGCUUUUGUGGGGUGCUCGAGUGGCGAACGGGUGAGUAACACGUGAGUAACCUGCCCUUGACUUUGGGAUAACUUCAGGAAACUGGGGCUAAUACCGGAUAGGAGCUCCUGCUGCAUGGUGGGGGUUGGAAAGUUUCGGCGGUUGGGGAUGGACUCGCGGCUUAUCAGCUUGUUGGUGGGGUAGUGGCUUACCAAGGCUUUGACGGGUAGCCGGCCUGAGAGGGUGACCGGCCACAUUGGGACUGAGAUACGGCCCAGACUCCUACGGGAGGCAGCAGUGGGGAAUAUUGCACAAUGGGCGGAAGCCUGAUGCAGCAACGCCGCGCGCGGGAUGACGGCCUUCGGGUUGUAAACCGCUUUCGCCUGUGACGAAGCGUGAGUGACGGUAAUGGGUAAAGAAGCACCGGCUAACUACGUG
rnacentral:rRNA from 1 species